UACGUAGGGUGCAAGCGUUGUCCGGAAUUAUUGGGCGUAAAGAGCUCGUAGGCGGUCUGUCGCGUCGGCUGUGAAAACUCGGGGCUCAACCCCGAGCCUGCAGUCGAUACGGGCAGACUAGAGUGCUGUAGGGGAGACUGGAAUUCCUGGUGUAGCGGUGAAAUGCGCAGAUAUCAGGAGGAACACCGGUGGCGAAGGCGGGUCUCUGGGCCGUAACUGACGCUGAGGAGCGAAAGCCAGGGGAGCAAACGGG
rnacentral:rRNA from 1 species